UCUCUCUCUCUCUCUGUGUGUGUGCUUAUGUGUUUGUUUGUAGAAAAAAAAAAAGUGGAGGCUUAUGACUAGCCCCUUCCUAGUAGGUGCUGCGCCAGCUAUCAAAACAAGAAUUUGCAGACCUGUUCCUUGUGCCAGAUAGCCCUGUGAGAUGACCCAAGACAGAAGGAGGCCCAAGGGUCUAGACUGAAAUAAAACCUAAAAUGGGUAGAAGACCCCAAGUAGAAGACAAAUGAAGACUGAAAUGGCCUGAGACCAUCAGAAACUUGGAGUUGAGACAUACAGAGGAAGGUCCUUUUUGGACAAAAGAUGUGACUGAGUUGGAUGAAGAAAGCUCAAGUUAGAAAGCUGAAGACCUGAAAGGAGGGGCCUGUGGGAGGCUUGAUAUCCAUGACUCAAGACUAAGGCCUAAGAUAGAAAGCCUUACUUGAAGACCCAGGACCAAAGGAUAGAAGUCUCCUGACAUACGUAAAUCCCAGGACUCAAACCUUUCUCAGUAGACUUAAUGCCAAAGAGAGACACUAUCUCAAGACUAAAUUAGGUGGGAAGCUGGAGGGCCUGAUCCCAGAAAGAACAGAAGCCCCAAGACCAGAGGAAAUUCCAAGAUGAGAAUCCUAAACUCUAGCUCUUUGUUACUAAUAUACUACCUACUCUUGGGACAUUUUAAAUUGAUUUUAUAACUCUUCAUAUCUACAUUUAAGAUUACCUCUUGUUUAAGAUAACCUUUAUGAAGUUGCUGUUACUUAAAAAAAAAGUUUAUAGUUAAAGUUUAUAAAGUUUAUAUUACCCUAGAACUAUCUUAAGCCAGUCUUUAUCAUGGUUUUGAGCCGUUUCAUAACAUUUUAUUGAUUUUUUUUAACUUCCAUUUCUCUUUACUUCCACUCUACUUAAAAGACAUAAAUAAAUGACAUUGUGCAUCAGUCUUCCCUUUACUUCAAAAGCUUAAGCUAAUGGGAAGAGGAGAAAAAUGCUAGGCUAUCUAGAGAAAGCUUGAAGAGAUGUUCCAGGCAAAUGAGAUGAAUUAGACAAGAAAUACACAGAUGUGCCAGCCUGCUGAGAAUCACCAGUUAAUAAUCAAUACCUUACUACUUUGAGCUUGGGUGAGCAGGACUCGCAGGAUUUGGGAUUUUCCCUAGUGAUGAUUACAAAGGAUGAUAGGGCCUGGAACAGAGUAAGGCCCCAACGAGACAGCUUGAACUCCCUGCUCACAGUAGUGGCCUAAUAAUUUGGUAGACUGCACCAGCCCUAUACCUGGGCUUCAUACCCACUUCUAGGCUUAAAGCAUCAUAGGAUUACUGCUACCAAUAAAGCAAGAACAAGAACACACUAUAAUCUUGAUUUAUGGCAUAAAUGAAGUUGUGAGCAAUCUACUUAUAAAGGAAAUGGCUUCAUCUCUACCCUGGUGCCUUAGAAUCUAUGCCAGAAUGCUGUGAUCAAUGGAAGAUACUUUUUACUUGUGAACUGAAAUGAAAUGCAGAAUCUCUGUGACUUGAGUGGUUUCAGUAUUAAAAAUAUGCUCAGCAUGGGGGGGGGGGUCAGCAAAAACAACUUAAAGCAUGUUACAACUAAUAUAAGUUAGAGAAUGUUUUUAAUUGUCAAAUAAAAUAAUUGAAAAUGA